rnacentral:rRNA from 1 species
GUGGGGAAUAUUGGACAAUGGGCGAAAGCCUGAUCCAGCCAUGCCGCGUGUGUGAAGAAGGUCUUCGGAUUGUAAAGCACUUUAAGUUGAGAGGAAGGGCAGUAAGUUAAUACCUUGCUGUUUUGACGUUACCAACAGAAUAAGCACCGGCUAACUUCGUGCCAGCAGCCGCGGUAAUACGAAGGGUGCAAGCGUUAAUCGGAAUUACUGGGCGUAAAGCGCGCGUAGGUGGUUCAGCAAGUUGAAGGUGAAAUCCCCGGGCUCAACCUGGGAACUGCCUCCAAAACUACUGAGCUAGAGUACGGUAGAGGGUAGUGGAAUUUCCUGUGUAGCGGUGAAAUGCGUAGAUAUAGGAAGGAACACCAGUGGCGAAGGCGACUACCUGGACUGAUACUGACACUGAGGUGCGAAAGCGUGGGGAGCAAACAGGAUUAGAAACCCCGGUAGUCC